rnacentral:RNase_P_RNA from 1 species
AGAGUUGGCCGAACAGCCGCCGUCCUGCAUCAGUGGGAGGGAGGAAAGUCCGGGCUCCAUAGGGCAGGGUGCCAGGUAAUGCCUGGGAGGCGUGAGCCUACGGAAAGUGCCGCAGAAAAUAUACCGCCUGGCCGGCAACGGCCCGGUAAGGGUGAAAUGGUGCGGUAAGAGCGCACCGCGCGACUGGUAACAGGCGUGGCAGGGAAAACCCCACCCGGAGCAAGAUCAAAUAGAGGCGCAUACGCGUGGCCCGCGCGGCGCCUGGGUAGAUUGCUUGAGCGCUUGGGUGACCAAGCGCCUAGAUGAAUGGCUGUUCUCGACAGAACCCGGCUUACAGGCCAACUCGCUUU